AGUGAACGCUGGCGGUAGGCCUAACACAUGCAAGUCGAACGGCAGCACAGUAAGAGCUUGCUCUUACGGGUGGCGAGUGGCGGACGGGUGAGGAAUACAUCGGAAUUUACUUUUUCGUGGGGGAUAACGUAGGGAAACUUACGCUAAUACCGCAUACGACCUACGGGUGAAAGCAGGGGAUCUUCGGACCUUGCGCGAUUGAAUGAGCCGAUGUCGGAUUAGCUAGUUGGCGGGGUAAAGGCCCACCAAGGCGACGAUCCGUAGCUGGUCUGAGAGGAUGAUCCGCCACACUGGAACUGAGACACGGUCCCGACUCCUACGGGAGGCAGCAGUGGGGAAUAUUGGACCAUGGGCGCAAGCCUGAUCCAGCCAUACCGCGUGGGUGAAGAAGGCCUUCGGGUUGUAAAGCCCUUUUGUUGGGAAAGAAAAGCAGCAGGUUAAUACCCCGCUGUUCUGACGGUACCCAAAGAAUAAGCACCGGCUAACUUCGUG
rnacentral:rRNA from 1 species